UACAGAGGUCCCAAGCGUUGUUCGGAAUUACUGGGCGUAAAGGGCGCGUAGGUGGCCUUCUAAGUCGGACGUGAAAUCCCUCGGCUUAACCGAGGAACUGCGUCCGAGACUGAAAGGCUUGAAUCCGGGAGAGGGAUGUGGAAUUCCAGGUGUAGCGGUGAAAUGCGUAGAUAUUCGCAAGAACACCAGUGGCGAAGGCGGCUCACUGGCCCGGUACUGACGCUGAGGUGCGAAAGCGUGGGGAGCAAACAGG
rnacentral:rRNA from 1 species